rnacentral:rRNA from 1 species
CAAAGUAUCUUCUGCCCACUGAUAUUUUUUAAAUGGCCGCAGUACCCUGACUGUGCUAAGGUAGCGUGAUUCUUGUUUUCUUAAUUAGAAAUCUGUUCAAAGAAUGAUAUGUAGAAAAUUUUUUGUUUUUAUAGAAAAUGAAUUUAAAUUGUUAGUGAAAAUUCUAACUUAUUCUUAAAAGACGAGAAGACCCCAUAAAACUUAAUUUUUUCAUUUCUUUUUAUCUUUAAAAAUUUAAAUGGGGACUUUUGAGUACUUUAAUAACUUUUGGACCUAUAUUUUUAUUUUCUGAGAAGCUACUUUGGGGAUAACAGGGUAAAAUAUUUAGAGAGUUCAUAUCGAUAAAUAUGAUUACUACCUCGAUGUUGGAUUAUCUUUUCA